GCUAGUAGGCUACUGUCAGAUGGUGAAUGCUACUCAGGCAAACACCAUUGUUACACCACUUUGAAGGAGAGCCUGGUCAUUUGGUCCCCUCAGCUUCUCCCUUUCUCAGUGAUAUGUUCAUUGUGGCUGGGAGAAUUGUGGGGCACUCUUUCCUUCAUGGAGGACCCUGCUUGUCUGGACUCUGUGAUGUGGUUGUCCAUACUGCUUCGUGGGAGCCCAGACACGGCUACAGUAAACCUGGAGGACUGUGCAGACCUGGACAUUAGAGAAACAAUCAGGCUUCUGGAGGUGGAAUCAAACCUAUCAGCUGAAGAAAUGGGAAGGGUACAGAACGUGGCCUCUUCCUGGGACCUCCCUCCGCUAACCACAACCAACAGGGCCCUUAAUGCUCUGCGGUGAAAAAUGGAGCAACAAGGCUGACCGUGACAUCGGGAGAGCUGAGGCAGAUCAUCUUAAACAUGAUGCACCUGGACGGUCCGGUGGCGGAGACUUCAAGAAUUAAAUAAAAUUACAAUGAAAUGGAUAA